GGGGGCGGGGCGCGGGCCGGGGCGCCAUGGGCAACCUGUUCGGCCGCAAGAAGCAGAGCCGGGUCACCGAGCAGGACAAGGCCGUGCUGCAACUAAAGCAGCAGCGGGAUAAGCUGAAGCAGUACCAGAAGAGGAUCACUCAGCAGCUGGAGAGGGAGCGGGAGAUCGCGAGGCAGCUCCUGCGGGACGGGAAGAAGGACCGCGCCAAGCUGCUGCUUAAGAAGAAGCGGUAUCGGGAGCAGCUUCUGGACAAGACAGAGAACCAGAUCAGCAGCCUGGAAACGAUGGUCCAGAGCAUUGAGUUCACCCAGAUUGAAAUGAAGGUGGUGGAAGGGCUGCAGAUUGGAAACGAGUGCCUGAAGAAGAUGCACCAGGUGAUGUCCAUAGAAGAAGUGGAGCGGAUACUGGAGGAGACCCAGGAAGCCGUGGAGUACCAGCGGCAAAUAGACGAACUAUUGGCAGGAAGCUUCACUCAGGAGGAUGAAGAUGCCAUCCUGGAGGAGCUGAAUGCAAUUACUCAGGAGCAGAUAAAGCUCCCAGAGGUUCCUUCGGAGCCCCUUCCCACAAAGGAACCAGAAAAAGUCCCCAUCAAGGCCAGGCCCAAGCAGGUGGACCUGGUGGCAGCCUCCUAACUUGGCCUCUUUGCGUGGGACUGGCAGGGACUCCCCAGAGACUGGGGCCCACAGAGUUUGGGUGCGUGGCCAGCCCUGACCCGGCUCCCAGGACACCGGCGCCAGGCCAGGCCGGUCAGGUGCUGACGGCGCAACGUGGCGCACACCGGGCUUGAUACCAGGAUGACUCUACGGAGCGUUGCCCUGGCGCUGCUGUCUUGCUCUCAUUUCUGGAUUAAAUGGCAACAUUUGGACCCUCCGGCCAACACAGCUCUGAUGCUGUGGUUCCCACGCAGCCACAGGCAGGCCCAACGCUCCUGGUGCCAGCACACUUCUGUCUCUGGCCCCGCGAGGCUCCACGGGCUGCCUUCUCUGCAGCCCGCUCUCUCGUUUGGAGGGCGCGUGGAGCCUAGCUUCCUUGCCCUUUCUUCCCUCGCUUCUCCCUGCUGCUCCCGACGGCAGCCCGGCAGCACAGUGGAAGAGUCCCUGCCUUGGCCUGGCUUCCUGACCUGCCCAGUUUCCACGUUGGUUCAGGGCUGGAAACCUCUCCUCUUCUGUGUCGGCGUUCUGGGGCAUCGGGCCGGUCGGGGAGGACGUACCCCUGCUGGGUUGGUGGCUGCAGGAGCCCCGACCAGUCCCCAUCACGUGCGGCUGUGCAUGCAGAGGCGGCCACACCACAGAGGGACGUCCCGGGGAGCCAGCGGUCUCACUGGAGUCCCCGGAGGUGCUGACGGGGACUGCUCUAGUGGCCGCGGCCCCGCUGCCUGGGACCCUGCCGAGCACCCCGGGCUCUCUGACCCGCCGUCUCUGAGUCAUCAGCUGUGGGGCAGAGGCUGUAGAGGGUGGUCGCGGCUCCCUAGUUGACGGUUCAUCUUGGUUUCAGACAAUCCCAGUGACACGUCCCUCCCAACAAGAACAGAAAGGGGACCCUCCCAGCCCCCCAAACAGGUCAGCCCCCUAUUAAAGUCGAUGCCUGCAUGG
rnacentral:lncRNA from 1 species